GAGCACAAAACCACGUGCUGAGUUACUGUGCAUCCAGAGGGAUGGGGAGGGGCAGGAAGGAUGACAGUUGGGUCCCCACAAGAGUCUUAGAUCUUUGUCUUCUAACCCUGAGCCACAAGAAACCAGCUGGUCAGCAGAGCUGUGGGCUGGUGGGUGUAGGUGGCUACAGGGGGUGGAAAACAGUAGGUGACCCUGAUCCCUCCUUGCCUCAGGCUCAUACAAUCAGCUGUCUCUGAGCUGGUUCCUUUCCAGACUGUGGAAGGAACUUAUGGGGGCUCUUGGACCUCCGAGUGUGAUAUUUUUAUGGAGGUGGUGUGUGGGUACUCAGGAAGAAAAUUCACCCUCUAGCUUUGUCUGUCUCUGCUGCCCCUAAAAAUACGAUGGGAUAUGGCUAAUGAGAAAGCACAGCAGGCCUGACUUGGGAUGACCUAAUAUAGCCUGGCAUUCCAGCCCUGACCAGUGCGUAAGUGGGGAUUGGUAACUGAAAACACAAAAUGUCUCUCUGAUGGGAUGGCAGAGACCUGCUGCCAUCCCUAAGGCGGGGUACACCCUGGGGAGCUGAGCAGAGGCCCCUGGGGACUCUCCUGGAUUUCCCAGGGUGCAUGGGGUUGGGGCCCAACUGAGAGCACCUCUUCAGUCUCUGACCCACUCUGCCUAGUGGGCCAGCAUCAGGUCUCAAUGAACCCCUGCAGAGAAGAGCAGUUGGCUUGGCACCCCAGGGGUCAUCAUUUCCACCAACCUGUUCUUAAACAGCAGAGUGGACCAGCUUCUCCUAACCUGGCCCUGGGAACAUGCUGGCUGGGCUGGUUUGGGCCCUACAUGAAAUUCCUGAGAGCUUCUGGUCCAGUCCUCCCACCUCAGACAGAGGAAUGACUCCAACCUCGAGUGCGUUCUGUCACGGUGGCUGGUUCCUCUCCUCCUUUGCCUUCUGCAUGGGCACAGACCCGUGGGUCAGCUGAGACACUGAUCUCCUGUGAUGUUGCUCCAUGCUGACUUGUGACUCAGGUCUGCGGAAAAAAGGGGACAGAACAUGGGAGAGGAGAAACAAGAUGGAGGGCGAGGAUGGAUUCUCAGGGCCACCUCAGAGGGUGACCAACUUCUCU
rnacentral:lncRNA from 1 species